rnacentral:tRNA from 1 species
GGCACUGUAGCUCAGCCUGGUUAGAGCGCUAGAAAAUAUAUUUUAGCGACACUCAUAUAUUUGAGUUAUGAAGCUUUAUGCUGAUGAUAUACCUCAAACCGGGUUAUCUAGAGGUCGCGGGUUCAGAUCCCGCCAGUGCCA